rnacentral:rRNA from 1 species
UAAGGGCGCACGGUGGAUGCCUUGGCACUAGAAGCCGAUGAAGGACGUUACUAACGACGAUAUGCUUUGGGGAGCUGUAAGUAAGCUUUGAUCCAGAGAUUUCCGAAUGGGGAAACCCAGCAUGAGUUAUGUCAUGUUAUCGAUAUGUGAAUACAUAGCAUAUCAGAAGGCACACCCGGAGAACUGAAACAUCUUAGUACCCGGAGGAAGAGAAAGAAAAUUCGAUUCCCUUAGUAGCGGCGAGCGAAACGGGAAGAGCCCAAACCAACAAGCUUGCUUGUUGGGGUUGUAGGACACUCUAUACGGAGUUACAAAGGACGACAUUAGA